GGUGACAUGGCCGAGUGAUAAGGUGAAGGACUGUAAAUCAUUUUUCCCUUGUUCAAAUUUGGGUGUCGCUC